UGUUCAGACUUUUAUCCUAAAAGUAGUUCAGUAAUUCAUCGGUACAAUAUAUUAAUUUUUAGAGAUCACUUUCUUUAUGGUAUCUUACCAAACCUACUAAACUUACUUAAAUCAAGGGGCACGGUAGUGCCCAGCCAAGUUCUCUAGCAACUUUGGCACUACACCCUUGUUUACAGGAAACAACUCAGGCCAUUUUCGACCCCCCUCUAACUUCCACACCAAAGAUGCCAGAAUAUUCAAACCCGCUACUCGUUGAGCUGGCCGAACCCAAAUUUCAGCUGCCUACGAUGAAUAGUUUCUGAGAUAUAGGAAUUCGAAAAUCGCGGAAACUGUAACUGACUCACUGACAGAUCAUGAAAAUUAUGGAGAACUUCCCGCUAUCGUAGAAACUUGAAAUUUUACAUGGUGAUAGGACUUGUGGUGUAUACAAAGGAAAAAAUCGAAAAUUUGAGAUUUUCAAUUCAGGGGGCGUGGUAACCGCCCAUUUUCGCCGAAUUUUUAUCAAUUAUUAUAGAGCACUUCUGAUUAUCGUAGAAUCUUGAAAUUUGGUAGAAUGGUAGAGCUGGGGUGGAAUCGUGUAAGCUGAUUUUUGAUAGUUGAUUGCCAAAUUUAAGAAAAUUCGUCUGUGUAAGCUGAUAGUCAAAAGUGACUGUCAUAUUUUUUUGACAUUUUCAGCUGACACCUAUUUAGGUGUCAAUUUGAAAAAAAUUGACAUUUGUAGAAUAUUUUUUUCUUGAUUCUCUUGGUGUUUUUACUUUGUUUGGGAAAAAAUGAAUAUUUUUGUGCCUGUUCAAUUAUUUUUACCCCUACAAAAUAGUGGAAAUGAGCAUGAAAUAGAAAACAGAAGAGUCAGACUUGUUCGCAUCAACUUGAGGAACAAAUUAAGUAUAUUUAACCUCCCCGACUCAAAAUUUUUACAAAAUUUCCGAAUAUCAAAAGAUACUUUUUGAGUAUAUUACACAUUUUGGAUCUGCCGUCUGGAGUUCGUUCAACACACAUUACUCCUGACCUCCAGUUGGCAGUAAUGUUAAAUUUUCUUGGAAGCGGAGGUUACCAAAGGCAAGUUGGUGCGGACUGGUCUGCUGCUAUGGCCCAAAGCACUAUAUGUGAGGUGACAACCUCAACCCUACAUAAAAUGGAGAGGUAACUAUGCCCCCUAAAAAUAAAAUUUAUGCCCUCAGCCUCGGAAAGUAUCAAAACACAUUUUUAUGAAAAAUUUCGCAUUCCUGGAGUAAUUGGGUGCGUAGAUGGCACUCAUAUAAUGAUUUUACGACCGACCGAAAACGAGCAUAUAUUUUUCAAUCGUAAGGGGAGGCACAGCAUAAAUACUAUGAUUGUA